rnacentral:sRNA from 1 species
GGUGGUGAAAGCCUGGCUGGUACACAGGUAUCCCCUUCUCCCUUGCCGCUCCAUGUGUGUCCCUCCCGAAGCUGUGCACUUGGUUGAAGAAGACGACCUUCCCUGAGUAGAGAAGGGCCAGUCUUCAGUCAAACCAACCCUGGCAAUCAAUAGGAUGACAGAUGUCACAGCCGGAUUGCCCUCACAUCC